UGCAGCUAUCCGUGAGCUGCAAGAACGCUUCCAUUGUCUCGAAGUUGACUACGCCAGGCUGGAAGCCACAUUCCAGUGUCAAGCCAAAACCAUAGAAAUAAUUGAGAAGUUGCGGCAAACCAAAAAGACAUGCAAUUGCUGCACCAUCCACGGAGGAACGAGG